rnacentral:lncRNA from 1 species
UACGCGUAAUCACACAAAGGGGCUGUUUGGUUGGAUGUAGUUGCAGAAACAGUGUAGUUGUAAAUGCAUGCAAUUGCAAAUGCUGCAGUUGUAACUACACCUAGUCUGUUUGGUUUUACGCAGUUGCAACUGCUGCAGUUACAUUUCUUCUGUUUGGUAAUAUGAAGCUGAUAGUUGUAUUUGUGAAUUUUGUCACCUUUUCAGAUAGAGUAGUGAGAUUAUCUUCACUAAACAUAAAAUAAUUGUAUAAGUUUAUUAAUCAUUUAAAUUUACUAUUUAUAAAUAAAUAAGUAGAUAUAUAUAAUAUUCUUCAACUUAUUAAUCGACACAUUUAAAAUUUUUAAUUUAUUUAAUUUUAAUAUGUAAAUCAAACUUUAAAAUUUAAACGAUUCUCUCAUUUUUUUUUAUCAAAUUUAAUAAUUAUAAUUAAUUAAAACUUAUUAAAUUAACAUACACGAUCACAUUCUAUAAAAAUUUUUUAAAAAAACUAUAUUUAUAUUUUAAAUAAAAUAAAUUUAAAAAAUUUAAUUUUUUGCACAAAGCUUGUAUUGUCUAAAAAAUUUUAUUAGUAUGAGUUUAUUUACAAGUAUUUUUAUUUACCUAUAUACAUAUAUUAUUUAUUUAUUUAUUAUUGUUAAUUUGUGGGUGAUCCUAUCCCUCACCAACUGUUGCAGUUGGAACUACGACUAAUUUGGAUGUAGUUCCAACUGCAGCAUUUGAAUAUUCUUGUGUAGUUGGAACUGCAGCAGUUGAACUCAACUACACUAAACCAAACAAAGGAAUUGAGGCUGCACGCAUUUGCAACUGCACUGCAGUUGCAAAUGCGUGCAACCAAACAGCCCCAAAGUGUGGGGGA